rnacentral:rRNA from 1 species
AGAGUUUGAUCCUGGCUCAGGACGAACGCUGGCGGCGCGCCUAACACAUGCAAGUCGAACGGAGCUAUUUUGGAAGAACCCUUCGGGGUGAUUCUGGCUUAGCUUAGUGGCGGACGGGUGAGUAACACGUGAGCAACCUGCCUCUCAGAGGGGGAUAACGUUUGGAAACGAACGCUAAUACCGCAUAACAUAUCGAGGCCGCAUGGCUUUGGUAUCAAAGGAGCAAUCCGCUGAGAGAUGGGCUCGCGUCCGAUUAGAUAGUUGGCGGGAUAACAGCCCACCAAGUCGACGAUCGGUAGCCGGACUGAGAGGUUGAUCGGCCACAUUGGGACUGAGACACGGCCCAGACUCCUACGGGAGGCAGCAGUGGGGGAUAUUGCACAAUGGGCGAAAGCCUGAUGCAGCGACGCCGCGUGAGGGAAGACGGUCUUCGGAUUGUAAACCUCUGUCUUCAGGGACGAAAGGAAUGACGGUACCUGAGGAGGAAGCCACGGCUAACUACGUGCCAGCAGCCGCGGUAAUACGUAGGUGGCAAGCGUUGUCCGGAAUUACUGGGUGUAAAGGGAGCGUAGGCGGGGAUGCAAGUUGAAUGUUUAAACUAUCGGCUCAACUGAUAGUCGCGUUCAAAACUGCAACUCUUGAGUGAAGUAGAGGUAGGCGGAAUUCCUAGUGUAGCGGUGAAAUGCGUAGAUAUUAGGAGGAACACCAGUGGCGAAGGCGGCCUACUGGGCUUUUACUGACGCUGAGGCUCGAAAGCAUGGGGAGCAAACAGGAUUAGAUACCCUGGUAGUCCAUGCCGUAAACGAUGAUUACUAGGUGUGGGGGGACUGACCCCUUCCGUGCCGGAGUUAACACAAUAAGUAAUCCACCUGGGAAGUACGACCGCAAGGUUGAAACUCAAAGGAAUUGACGGGGGCCCGCACAAGCAGUGGAGUAUGUGGUUUAAUUCGAAGCAACGCGAAGAACCUUACCAGGUCUUGACAUCCAGAGAAUCCACUAGAGAUAGAGGAGUGCCUUCGGGAACUCUGAGACAGGCGGUGCAUGGUUGUCGUCAGCUCGUGUCGUGAGAUGUUGGGUUAAGUCCCGCAACGAGCGCAACCCUUACGAUUAGUUGCUACGCAAGAGCACUCUAAUAGGACUGCCGUUGACAAAACGGAGGAAGGUGGGGAUGACGUCAAAUCAUCAUGCCCCUUAUGACCUGGGCCACACACGUACUACAAUGGUGAUUAACAGAGGGAAGCAAAACCGCGAGGUAGAGCAAAUCCCUAAAAAUCAUCCCAGUUCGGAUUGUAGGCUGCAACCCGCCUGCAUGAAGCCGGAAUUGCUAGUAAUCGCGGAUCAGCAUGCCGCGGUGAAUACGUUCCCGGGCCUUGUACACACCGCCCGUCACACCAUGAGAGUCGGUAACACCCGAAGUCAGUAGCCUAACCGCAAGGGGGGCGCUGCCGAAGGUGGGAUUGAUAAUUGGGGUGAAGUCGUAACAAGGUA